rnacentral:rRNA from 1 species
AUAGCCGAGUUGAGAGACUGAUCGGCCACAUUGGGACUGAGACACGGCCCAAACCUACCUACGGGAGGGCAGCAGUAGGGAAAUCUUCCACAAUGGACGCAAGUCUGAUGGAGCAACGCCGCGUGAGUGAAGAAGGGUUUCGGCUCGUAAAGCUCUGUUGUUGGUGAAGAAGGACAGGGGUAGUAACUGACCUUUGUUUGACGGUAAUCAAUUAGAAAGUCACGGCUAACUACGUGCCAGCAGCCGCGGUAAU